UACGUAGGGGGCUAGCGUUGUCCGGAAUCAUUGGGCGUAAAGAGCGUGUAGGCGGCCCGGUAAGUCCGCUGUAAAAGUCAAAGGCUCAACCUUUGAAUGUCAGUGGAUACUGCCGGGCUAGAGUCCGGAAGAGGCGAGUGGAACUCCUGGUGUAGCGGUGGAAUGCGCAGAUAUCAGGAAGAACACCAACGGCGAAGGCAGCAUCCUGGACUGGUCCUGACGCUCAGGAGCGAAAGCGUGGGGAGCGAUCCGG
rnacentral:rRNA from 1 species